UACAGAGGUGGCAAGCGUUGUUCGGAAUUAUUGGGUGUAAAGGGCAGGUAGGUGGUCGCGCAAGUCUGUUGUGAAAUCCUAGGGCUCAACCCUAGAACUGCAAUGGAAACUGCGCGGCUUGAGUACUGGAGAGGUGAGGGGAAUUCUCGGUGUAAGGGUGAAAUCUGUAGAUAUCGAGAGGAAUACCAGUGGCGAAGGCGACUUCCUGGCCUGUUCUUGACGCUGAGGCGCGAAAGCUAGGGGAGCAAACGGG
rnacentral:rRNA from 1 species